rnacentral:piRNA from 1 species
UAGCAUGUGGCAGUGGAGC